rnacentral:lncRNA from 10 species
UUAAAAGAUGUAAAUAGCCAGGAUCCGUGCUGUUUUGUUUCAAUCUUCUUUAUACUGCUGAAAACAGGAAAGCCUCCUGUCACGCAGACUCCGGGAUUCUCAGAGCCCAAUAAAGGUUUAGAAGAGGCAGCACCCCUCUUGCCUGGGAUUGGGAUAAUGCAGCUGAGACGGCCUUCCUGGUAGCCAAGCAGGCUAUUCAGCAGGUACAGAUCCUAUGAGUAGUCAACCAGAGGUGCCCAUUUAAGCUAGAUGUGCAUACGACCACAGAUAAUUACAGUUAAGGCCUAUAGCAGUGCACAGAGUGCCUGAGUAUGCUAGUAGGCUUUUGGUCCCAACUAUGGAAGGGAGUUGAGGUCCAGUGUCCAUUAACAGAGAAGCAGUUAGUAAUAGCGGGAUGGGUGCAUUCAUGGAUAACCACCCCCAAGACUGGGAAAGCAGUUAGUAACUGCAUAUGCUGCCCUUCAGGCUCAUAAAAGCAUGUCAGGAUGGUUACAGUCAUUGUGCAGACAACUUACCCGGUAGCAGGAUGGGUGUGUUCGUGGGUAACAACCCCCAGAGUGCAGACAUCCACUUUAGUGAAGUGGGGCACCUACUUAGAACAGUGAAGUACACUGAGUACAAGUCCCUGAGCAGAUUUACAAGAGGUUUUGGGGCCUGCAGUCCUAAUGCAAGAUAAGGCCAUGGGACCUGAAGCACCCCUAGAUCCUGAGCCUCCACUGUUAGGAAGGGCAGCCCCCAUUCCUAACAGGGCAUAAUAUACAGAUAGGUCUAGCUGGGGUGCUACUGCUGCCUGGACUGUUGUCGCAGUCCAGCCUUGUAUUGACGCCAUACAGUUUGAAACCAGGUGUAAACAGAGUAGCUAAUGAGCUAAACUCAGGACAGUGUGAAUAAUAAUCACCAAAAGGGUGACACCUGUGGUAAUCUGCGCCGAUAGCUGGGCAGUUUAUCGAGGCUUAUGUAUACCAGGCCUGCAUGCCCAAAGCGUAUGUGUCAAACCUGUGUAUCCAAAACCUAUGUCUCCCUCGGCCUGGGGGCUAGAGUAUUAGGUACACGGAUGUGCCUUGGUCAAGGAAUAGGCUGAGGCAGAUAUCCAGGCCUGCAUGAUUCAGUGAGUUUGGCACGUAAGCACACACCUCCACUUGGUAUAUAACCUGUUUGUGUAAGUUCAUAUUUGACCCUACGCAACUAUUAUCUGUAAAAGGUGUAACUGUCCUGCUGACGCUGUACAGGGACUCUUGGUGGCUUGGCUCGACUUGGCUCAACAUGGCUUAACAUGGCAGGCACGCUGGCACCCAGAGAGAGAGAGAGAGUGCCAGAGCUGUCUGUCUUUGCAGACAGACAGGAGGGAGCCAGGAUAUAGCUCAGCUUGCUCAUGCCCAGAGAGAGAAAGGGUUAAGCUGCUGACCCUGAAGGCAAGGGAGAGUCAGCCUGUGUGUGGGGGUGGCCAGCUCAAGCAGCCGAGACAGGGCGGACAGUGAGAAAACUAUGGAUGAGAAAGCUGCUGAAUAAAACUACAUUUCACCUGCCUACGGGCCCCCAAGUGUUCUUUCUGCCCAUCCACCCAUUCCUUCGGACUUCAGCAUGGGCUGGACCCGGACCCUGGGAUCUGACAACUUGUUAAGAAUGCAAAUCCCGAGGCCCAUCCUAGACCUACUGAAUCUGAAGCUCUGUGAGACCCAGCAAUCUGCCACUUAACAAGCCUCCAGGUGAAUCUGAUGCCUCCUGAAGUUUAAGAAUCACCCCCAAAACAUCUCCCAGGAACAAGAGACAGUCUGCAGGCAGGAGAGCUACUGAGUCAGCAAUCAGGAGUUACUUAGGGAAACAAGAAACCCCUAUGUAAGCGUCCUGUUUUCAACAAUUAAAUCAAGGUUAUAGAGAUUACAAAAGGUAUUUAAUUUUAUUAGACUCAGUUUUCAAGCAAAAAGAAAGCUAAAAUCAUUAACUGCCCACCUUACUCCCCCAAGAAUGGCCAUUAUCAAAAAAAAUUGAAAAAUAAUAGAUGUUAUCAGGGAUGUGGUGAAAAGAGAACACUUCUACACUGCUGGUGGGGAUGUAAACUAGUACAACUAUGGAAAACAGUGUGGAGAUUCCUUAAAGAACUAAAAGUAGAACUACUGUUUGAUCCAGCAAUCCCACUACUGGAUAUCUACCCAGAGGAAAGAAGUCAUUAUACGAAAAGGAUAUUUGCACAUGCAUGUUUAUAGCAGCACAAUUCGCAAUUGAGAAAAUGUGAAACCAGCCCAAAUGCCCAUCAAUCAAUGAGUGGAUAAAGAAAUUAGGAUAUAUA